AGUACGAUGCUAGGAUCAAUCUCAGUCAAUACGCACACUGUGGUAAAACCAUAGAUAUGCCAUCAUGAAUUCAAAACUACCGAGCAUGGUGACAUCUUAAGAAAUUGUAAAAGAGUUACAAAAAAGAGAUGAAGAAGAAGCCUCAGCCUAGUUCGAAAGCACUCCUCAUAGAGGCUCAUCUGGCCUGGGGAAGGUUGGCAAACUCGAUCGUUCAGCCUCAAAAUUUUCAAUCGAAAUGCCAGAAGGAUCUGAAACUACUCAUGGAGCAGUACUACAUCCCUCUUCGUUAGCUCGGACUGAAAUUCCAGUGAGGUGAAGUUGGAGUCUUCAGAACCAAUUUCCUUCACAGUAAAAGAAAGCUUUGAAGUGAAAGACAAAGGAGAGAAACCUACGGCAAAAGAAAAAGAUGGUCGAAAAUCUUAGAAGCUUAUCUCUUCUGGGGUUUAAAUAAAUCCAAACUUUGAAGAUCUCCAAACGAUACUUUCUCUUAGAGCACUAAUGAUAGGAGGCA
rnacentral:lncRNA from 1 species